rnacentral:rRNA from 1 species
AACGAACGCUGGCGGCAUGCCUAACACAUGCAAGUCGAACGAGACCUUCGGGUCUAGUGGCGCACGGGUGCGUAACGCGUGGGAACCUGCCCUUAGGUUCGGAAUAACUCCCCGAAAGGGGUGCUAAUACCGGAUAAUGUCUUCGGACCAAAUAUUUUUCGCCUUUGGAUGGGCCCGCGUUGGAUUAGCUAGUUGGUAGGGUAAAAGCCUACCAAGGCGACGAUCCAUAGCUGGUCUGAGAGGAUGAUCAGCCACACUGGGACUGAGACACGGCCCAGACUCCUACGGGAGGCAGCAGUGGGGAAUAUUGGACAAUGGGCGAAAGCCUGAUCCAGCAAUGCCGCGUGAGUGAUGAAGGCCUUAGGGUUGUAAAGCUCUUUUACCCGGGAUGAUAAUGACAGUACCGGGAGAAUAAGCGCCGGCUAACUCCGUG